CGUAGGGUGCGAGCGUUAAUCGGAAUUACUGGGCGUAAAGUGUGCGCAGGUGGCCGCGCAUGUCGAGUGUGAAAUCCCCGGGCUUAACUUGGGAAUUGCGCUCGAAACUACGUGGCUGGAGUGUGGCAGAGGAAGGUGGAAUUCCAGGUGUAGCGGUGAAAUGCGUAGAGAUCUGGAGGAACACCGAUGGCGAAGGCAGCCUUCUGGGCCAACACUGACACUCAUGCACGAAAGCGUGGGGAGCAAACAGGAUUAGAUACCCUGGUAGUCCACGCCCUAAACGAUGAUGGCUAGUUGUUGGAGGAGUUAAAUCCUUUAGUAACGCAGCUAACGCGUGAAGUCAUCCGCCUGGGGAGUACGGUCGCAAGAUUA
rnacentral:rRNA from 1 species